GAAGAUAGUCGAGCAGCUACUUUAUAUUUUUAUAAAGAGGAAAGUCCGGUCUCCAGGAGUAACGGUGCCGGGUAAUACCCGGCAAAGGCGACUUUAGGGAUAGUGCCGCAGAAAAUAUACCGCUAGUUACUAGUAAGGGUGAAAUGGUGUGGUAAGAGCACACCGCAUCCAUGGUAACAUGGAUGGCAUGGUAAACCCCACCGGGAGCAAGACCAAAUAGAGACUAAAGACUCCAGUUUAUAGUCUGGGUAGGUUGCUUGAAAUUAAUAGUAAUAUUAAUUCUAGAUAGAUUGCUGCAUAAUACAGAAACCGGCUUAUAGACUAUCUUCAUAG
rnacentral:RNase_P_RNA from 2 species